UAACCAGGUUUUCCGAAGGAAAAAAAUGGUUAUUAGAUUGGCGAAUGCGGGCGGGCAGGCUGGCUGGCUGGCAGGCUGGCGGAACAAGCUUGUCCGGGCCAUAACUAUGUCGUUCAUUGUCAGAUUUUAAAAUCAUUUGGCACAUUUGUUCACCAUCAUUGGACGGUGUGUCGCGCGAAAUAAUUACGUCGAUAUCUCCAAGGUCAAGGUCACACUUUGAGUUCAAAGGUCAAAAAUGGCCAUAAAUGAGCUUGUCCUGGCCAUAACUAUGUCAUUCAUUGUGAGAUUUUAAAAUCAUUUGGCACAUUUGUUCACCAUCAUGGGACGGUGUGUCGCACGAAAGAAUCACGUCAAUAUCUCCAAUGUCAAGGUCGCCACGACUAAAAAUA